rnacentral:SRP_RNA from 1 species
CGUCAGGUCCCAUGCGGCGGCCGCCGGCGAAUCCCGCCAGAACCGGAAGGUGGCAACGGCAGUCAGGAUGUCCGCGCGGCAUGGGUCGCCUGGCGUUU